GCUUUCAUGGUACCAUAAAGGCACCAAAUCCCAUCUGAUUAUGGAAGCUAAGCAGGGUCAGUCCUGGUUAGUACUUGGAUGGGGACCGCCAAUGAAUCCCUGGCGCUGGAGGCU
rnacentral:rRNA from 1 species